ACCCGCUGAACUUAAGCAUAUCAAUAAGCGGAGGAAAAGAAACCAACAGGGAUUGCCUCAGUAGCGGCGAGUGAAGCGGCAAAAGCUCAGAUUUGAAAUCCGGUGCGCUCAGCGCCCCCGAAGUUGUAAUCUGGAGAGGAUGCUUCGGCGAGAACCCCGGCCAAAGUCCCUUGGAACAGGGCGUCUUAGAGGGUGAGAACCCCGUACCCGGCAGGCGGUUUUAGCCAUGUGUAGCUCCUUCGACGAGUCGAGUUGUUUGGGAAUGCAGCUCAAACUGGGUGGUAAAUUCCAUCUAAAGCUAAAUAUUGGCGGGAGACCGAUAGCGCACAAGUAGAGUGAUCGAAAGAUGAAAAGCACUUUGAAAAGAGAGUUAAAAAGUACGUGAAAUUGUUGAAAGGGAAGCGCUUGCCAUCAGAAUCGGUGCCGGUCGAUCAACGUUCCUUCUGGUUCGUGCACUCGUCCGGUUUCCGUGCCAGCAUCGGUUGGCGCGGCGGGACAAAGGCCGCGGGAAAGUGGCUCCCCUCGGGGAGUGUUAUAGCCCGCGGUGCAAUACCGCCAGCGCCGACCGAGGACCGCGCUUCGUGCAAGGAUGCUGGCCUAAUGGUUGUAAGCGACCCGUCUUGAAACACGG
rnacentral:rRNA from 1 species